ensembl:lncRNA
GCCUCUAUGGAUCUUGUACUCAGAGCUUGUUCUUGUGCUGCCAUGAUUAGUGCCUCUGUGCUGUCUUUCAGUCCAGCUUUGUCCAGCCACUGGUAGGAUUUCUGGAUAUCAGCCACCUCCUCUAUCUGCCGGUGGUACAUACCAUGCAGGGGCCUGUCCUUCCAUGAUGGUUCCUCGCCUUCCUCCUCUUUCUUGGGUUUCUGCUGCCUGAGGUAUUCACUGAGCACGCUGUCAGUUGGGGCCAUCUUCGUGAUGUAUUCGUGGAUGUUUCUUGUCUCAUCCUGGACUGUGGUGCUGACACUCACCAGUCCCCGGCCCCCUUCCUUCCGCUUAGCGUACAGCCUCAGGGUGCUGGACUUGGGGUGAAACCCUCCAUGCAUGGUAAGGAGCUUUCUUGUCUUGAUGUCAGUGGCUUCUAUCUCCUCCUUUGGCCAGCCUAUUACCCCAGCAGGGUACCUGAUCACGGGCAGGGCGUAGGUGUUGAUGGCCCGGAUCUUGUUCUUACCGUUCAGCUGACUCCUCAGGACUUGCCUGACCCUCUGCAGGUACUUGGUGGUUGCAGCUUUCCUAGCGGCCUCUUCAUGGUUCCCAUUCGCUUGCGGGAUCCCCAGGUACUUGUAACUGUCCUCUAUGUCUGCAAUGUUGCCUUCUGGUAGUUCAAUCCCCUCAGUUCUGACUACCUUCCCUCUCUUUGUUACCAUCCGACUACACUUCUCCAGUCCAAACGACAUUCCAAUGUCAUUGCUGUAUAUCCUGGUAGUGUGUAUCAGUGAAUCGAUGUCUCGUUCACUCUUGGCAUACAGCUUGAUGUCAUCCAUGUACAGGAGGUGGCUGACAACCGCUCCGUUCCGUAGUCGGUAUCCGUAGCCAGUCUUGUUAAUGAUCUC